UUCGCUUGCGCUCGUUUCGUUCCCCUCCCACUCUCCCUCUCCCUCGUUUGCUGUCUCCGAUCGCCGUACUUAUUAUAUUCCCGUGUGCCUUUAGGUUUUGGACUAACUGCUCUGCGGCAGUGAAGUCAACCUCACGCCAUCGGAGGAAAGCGAAGGCAUCGCGAAAGAGUUAGGUAGAGAGGAGGAUGUUCCCAUCGGACCUUUUCCUCGGUCCUCCUCCUCCUCCUCCUCCUCUUCGACUCGGUCAGAAGACGAAUCCCGCAAAUCCCCACUCUUCCUCUCAUUCUUUACUGCCUGUCGCGUCACUCCGCGGCACCCAUGUUUUCUUGGCGCUCGGGUUGUCUCUCCGGCUUCGUGGUGAAUGCUGCGAUCUCCCCGCUGUGCGACCUGGCCUCGUUAUGAACCUGAUUUCUGGGGAAUUCAAAACUUCUUCUAGGAAGCAUUAAGAUGUCUACCACUAAAUAUUUCUUCUUUGUGGCUGCCUUGGCUGCUUUAUCUUUUAAGUUUCUGCAACUUACAGGAGCACAACUCACUGAUCCAUCAGAAGUUAGUGCUUUGAAGGCUAUUAGGAAUCGUCUGAUUGAUCCUCUGGGCAAACUAAACAAUUGGGAAGUUGGAGAUCCUUGCACAUCAAAUUGGACAGGGGUGAUAUGUUAUAAUUUGACAUUAAGCGAUGGAUAUCUACAUGUCAUAGAGUUGUAUGACCAAGGAUUGUUCUUUGUUCUUUUAUUGAGUUUUUUAUUCCAAGUACAAAUGACUAUGUUUGGCAUGAAAUAUUAGUUAUGAUAAGCUUUGAGUGUAAUUUUUUUGUGA